AGUGAACGCUGGCGGUAGGCCUAACACAUGCAAGUCGAACGGCAGCACAGUAAGAGCUUGCUCUUACGGGUGGCGAGUGGCGGACGGGUGAGGAAUACAUCGGAAUCUACUUUUUCGUGGGGGAUAACGUAGGGAAACUUACGCUAAUACCGCAUACGACCUACGGGUGAAAGCAGGGGAUCUUCGGACCUUGCGCGAUUGAAUGAGCCGAUGUCGGAUUAGCUAGUUGGCGGGGUAAAGGCCCACCAAGGCGACGAUCCGUAGCUGGUCUGAGAGGAUGAUCAGCCACACUGGAACUGAGGCACGGUCCAGACUCCUACGGGAGGCAGCAGUGGGGAAUAUUGGACAAAGGGCGCAAGCCUGAUCCAGCCAUACCGCGUGGGUGAAGAAGGCCUUCGGGUUGUAAAGCCCUUUUGUUGGGAAAGAAAAGCAGCAGGUUAAUACCCCGCUGUUCUGACGGUACCCAAGGAAUAAGCACCGGCUAACUUCGUG
rnacentral:rRNA from 1 species